rnacentral:rRNA from 1 species
ACGAACGCUGGCGGCGUGCUUAACACAUGCAAGUCGAACGGAAAGGCCCUGCUUUUGUGGGGUGCUCGGGUGGCGAACGGGUGAGUAACACGUGAGUAACCUGCCCUUGACUUUGGGAUAACUUCAGGAAACUGGGGCUAAUACCGGAUAGGAGCUCCUGCUGCAUGGGGGGGGGUGGAAAGUUUCGGCGGUUGGGGAUGGACUCGCGGCUUAUCAGCUUGUUGGUGGGGUAGUGGCUUACCAAGGCUUUGACGGGUAGCCGGCCUGAGAGGGUGACCGGCCACAUUGGGACUGAGAUACGGCCCAGACUCCUACGGGAGGCAGCAGUGGGGAAUAUUGCACAAUGGGCGGAAGCCUGAUGCAGCAACGCCGCGUGCGGGAUGACGGCCUUCGGGUUGUAAACCGCUUUCGCCUGUGACGAAGCGUGAGUGACGGUAAUGGGUAAAGAAGCACCGGCUAACUACGUG